rnacentral:rRNA from 1 species
GCAAGUCGAGCGCGCCCUUCGGGGUGAGCGGCGGACGGGUGAGUAACGCGUGGGAAUAUGCCCUUCUCUAAGGAAUAGCCUCUGGAAACGGAGAGUAAUACCUUAUACGCCCUUUGGGGGAAAGAUUUAUCGGAGAAGGAUUAGCCCGCGUUAGAUUAGGUAGUUGGUGGGGUAAUGGCCUACCAAGCCUAUGACGCCUAGCUGGUCUGAGAGGAUGAUC